rnacentral:lncRNA from 15 species
AUUUCGCACUGAUCAUCUUACAGAGACACAGUUUUUGUGUCAAUCAGUGUGACCUUAUCAGCUACUUGUUACCUGAUGGAAAUUAUGUCAUUUAGUGAAUAACAGCAGCACAGCAGUGACAAAAGGGAGGGAUUAAGGGAGGAGCAAAACUGAGACUCAAGUACAGAAAAGACAGAAACUUUCACAGUGGUGUUUCAUCCAAAAAACAGACAGAUUGUCUUUAUCUUUAAGAUGCUGUCAGUGAACUUCAGUCUGUUUGUGACUUUGUUUCUGCUCACAAUAAGAGGUGUCAGCUGUGAAGAACUCACUGCAGUCAAGAAACAAGAGUCCAGUUUAGAAGACAGCACUGUUACUCUGUCCUACAAAUACUCCAAACAAGCAAAUGGCAGUGAUUAUUUUUACUGGUAUCGACAAUAUGCAGGAAAACCUCAUCUUCCUCAUCUCUCACUUGGGAACACAAAAUGCAACAACCUCUAG